UAUGGAUUGAAUUUAUAAUAGACUGAAGUGUUUUGUAGUUUUAUCAACUCUUUUGAUUUAAUUUGUCUUCGUCAAUUUUGUUCUCUUUCAAUCAACAAUACCUCUUUAUUAUUUUGAAAAAAAUAAAGGGGGUAAUGUAUAACAUUCUCUGAGCUUGUUUUUAAAGAAACAUAAGAUUGUGGCGUAUAAUACCUUAGACUCAUUAACAUUCUCUGAGCUUGUUUUUAAAGAAACAUAAGAUUAUGGCGUAUAAUACCUUAGGCUCAUUAACAAAAA
rnacentral:lncRNA from 1 species